AUAUUUUUUGUGUUUGAACACCAUUUCGCUAUAGAUCUUCUCACUUGUCAGGAUGGAUCUGAUAUCACUUGUGUUGGUAUUGACACUCUGAAUACUGAAACAUUAGAGGUGGUAAGAUUCCUUUCAAAGGUGACUUUGCUUGCAUCUGGUAGAGCUGGACAUAUUUAUCCCAAAACUACAAAUCCUCUGGU